AUUGAACGCUGGCGGCAGGCCUAACACAUGCAAGUCGAGCGGAUGAAGGGAGCUUGCUCCUGGAUUCAGCGGCGGACGGGCGAGUAAUGCCUAGGAAUCUGACUGGUAGUGGGGGAUAACGUCCGGAAACGGGCGCUAAUACCGCAUACGUCCUGAGGGAGAAAGUGGGGGUUCUUCGGACCUCACGCUAUCAGAUGAGCCUAGGUCGGAUUAGCUAGUUGGUGGGGUAAAGGCCUACCAAGGCGACGAUCCGUAACUGGUCUGAGAGGAUGAUCAGUCACACUGGAACUGAGACACGGUCCAGACUCCUACGGGAGGCAGCAGUGGGGAAUAUUGGGCAAUGGGCGAAAGCCUGAUCCAGCCAUGCCGCGUGUGUGAAGAAGGUCUUCGGAUUGUAAAGCACUUUAAGUUGGGAGGAAGGGCAGUAAGUUAAUACCUUGCUGUUUUGACGGUACCAACAGAAUAAGCACCGGCUAACUUCGUG
rnacentral:rRNA from 1 species